AAGCAGGGAAGUACAAUCUACAGGAAAAAGCAACACUUUACUUUUGUGUGAAAGACAGCUUGCUUGCUGCAGUCUGUAUAAUAUAUCAACACUCUUCCAUACACUGUUUGAAAGACAGCACUGCUUCCUUCAGUCUCUAUAAAUAAUCCAGAGAUAUCUACACUCUACUCACACUUUACAAACUCUCAACUACACUCAACUGAAAUUAAUAUAUCAACUCUUUGCAUUCGGAUCUUGCGUUGUUUCUCGGCUCUCACAUCAAGGUUUUAAAAUUUUUGUCGGCUUUUCACAUCUCCCUCUUGCAUUGUUGUAAGUUCUUUCAAAUAUGACAUAGUGAAAGGAUAAAUUGUUUUUGUAGUUUUGAUUUUACUUUGUUCUGUUAUAUUUUGAUCUUUUCCUUCA